rnacentral:rRNA from 1 species
UAGCAUAUCAAUAAGCGGAGGAAAAGAAACCAACAGGGAUUGCCCCAGUAACGGCGAGUGAAGCGGCAAUAGCUCAAAUUUGAAAUCUGGCCCCUUUGGGGUCCGAGUUGUAAUUUGCAGAGGGCGCUUUGGAGUUGGCUGCAGCCUAAGUUCCUUGGAACAGGUCAUCAUAGAGGGUGAGAAUCCCGUAUGUGGUUGCAUGCCUUCGCCGUGUAAAGCCCCUUCGAUGAGUCGAGUUGUUUGGGAAUGCAGCUCUAAAUGGGAGGUAAAUUUCUUCUAAAGCUAAAUAUUGGCCAGAGACCGAUAGCGCACAAGUAGAGUGAUCGAAAGAUGAAAAGCACUUUGGAAAGAGAGUCAAAAAGCACGUGAAAUUGUUGAAAGGGAAGCGCUUGCAGCCAGACUUGCCCGCAGUUGCUCAUCCGGGGUUCUCCCCGGUGUACUCUUCUGUGGGCAGGCCAGCAUCAGUUCGGGCGGUUGGAGAAAGACCUGUGUCAUGUAGCUGUUCUCGGGCAGUGUUAUAGGGCAGGUGGAAUGCAACCAGCUCGAACUGAGGUCCGCGCAUCUGCUAGGAUGCUGGCGUAAUGGCUGUAAGCGGCCCGUCUUGAAACACGGACCAAGGAGUCUAACAUCUAUGCGAGUGUUUGGGUGUCAAGCCCGAGCGCGUAAUGAAAGUGAACGGAGGUGGGAACCCCUCGGGGUGCACCAUCGACCGAUCCUGAUGUCUUCGGAUGGAUUUGAGUAAGAGCAUAGCUGUUGGGACCCGAAAGAUGGUGAACUAUGCCUGAAUAGGGUGAAGCCAGAGGAAACUCUUGGUGGAGGCUCGCAGCGGUUCUGACGUGCAAAUCGAUCGUCAAAUUUGGGCAUAGGGGCGAAAGACUAAUCGAACUAUCUAGUAGCUGGUUCCUGCCGAGUUUCCCCUCAAGG